UAGAUUUUGGGUGAAAUCACUGGAAACUUGGAUGCCAAAAAGGCAUUGCACGAGGCAUUGAAAAUUCACAAGAAGUAUUUGAAAGUAAGGCUUUACCUACUUCCCAGUUAGUACUUUUGGGUUGAGUCGAACAUACUGAACUUAUCAUUAGUGUAUCUUGAAAUAUUGGAUAUCCAUCUUUUAACUUUACAAAUGUUUCCUCUUACUAAUAUUGGAAAUAAAUGUAGAUUUUGGGUGAAAUCACUGGAAACUUGGAUGCCAAAAAGGCAUUGCACGAGGCAUUGAAAAUUCACAAGAAGUAUUUGAAAGUAAGGCUUUACCUACUUCCCAGUUAGUACUUUUACAAUUUCCUUUAUUUUUAAGCCUAGGUCUCGCCCUCUAUCCCCACCCCGAUGUCAUCCAGACGAUCUUUUCUUUUGGACGUCUUAUUGCAAACUGUCGAAUGCAGGC
rnacentral:lncRNA from 1 species